GAGUUAGUAGUGUAACGGUUAACACACCAGGUGUUGCUAGUAGCGAUUCGCGUACGUAUGCUGGAGUUCCCUGUUCGACUCGGGGCUGGGUCA